rnacentral:rRNA from 1 species
CACGGGGGGAGCAAGCGUUGUCCGGAAUCAUUGGGCGUAAAGAGCGUGUAGGCGGUUCGGUAAGUCGGCUGUGAAAGUCCAGGGCUCAACCCUGGGAUGCCGGUCGAUACUGCCGGACUAGAGUUCGGAAGAGGCGAGUGGAAUUCCCGGUGUAGCGGUGAAAUGCGCAGAUAUCGGGAGGAACACCUAUGGCGAAGGCAGCUCGCUGGGACGUUACUGACGCUGAGACGCGAAAGCGUGGGGAGCAAACAGG